CACGUACUGUGCGAACGUUAUUCGGAAUCACUGGGCUUAAAGGGUGCGUAGGCGGCCUUGUUAGUCAGGUGUGAAAUCCCACGGCUCAACCGUGGAACUGCGCUUGAAACUGCAAGGCUUGAGUGAGACAGGGGUGUGUGGAACUUCUAGUGGAGCGGUGAAAUGUGUUGAUAUUAGAAGGAACACCGGUGGCGAAAGCGACACACUGGGUCUUAACUGACGCUGAGGCACGAAAGCCAGGGGAGCGAACGGG
rnacentral:rRNA from 1 species